rnacentral:pre_miRNA from 7 species
CUUUCCUUGUGUAAGACCCCCUUUCAGGGACCCCCACUCUAGUCUCAGGAGAGAGAGCACACCCAAAAAAACAUGAGAAUCC